UAGAAACCACAAAAAACCAAACUCAGUACUCGACUCGACUAAUAGAGCUUAAAUUUGGAAAAAAUUGAGUCGAUUACCAUACCAAGCUUCCAACCAGCAACCCACUGGUUUGGUGCUGCGAAAAACCUUCCAAAAUACCCUCUCACACGUCCACAAAGGCUCAGCGACACUCGCAAGCAGCGAAGAACAAGCGAGGCGACGAAAUCGAGCUAAAUCGUUGAUUUCUAUGUAGAGAGAGAAAACUUCUAGAGUGAGAGAGUAAGAGAGGUGCAAGGCUGCUUCUCAGAGCUCUAGCAUCAUCCACAAGGGUCCAGGGGUUAACCUUGCUGCCACAUUUCUGCCAGUCUGUACCGGUACAAGGUGAUGGCUGUACCGGUACAGCAAGCAGAAAAAUACUGAUUUCGUCCGUUCAAUGCACUUUCUUGCUUUUAACUUUCCAAUCACCCUCUAACUUGUCCAAAAACUUGUCUAAGCCCUCUAGAAUAUGUAGGGUAGUUCCACAUACCAUUUCCCACAUUCGAACUUCGCAAUUGUCCAAAUUCGAAGCAUUGCAAUUGAUAAUGCAUUUGCGAUGCAAUUUUCCAAUUCCAGUUACUUUCUCACUUCAGUAACUUGUCAAAACCUUUCUAAGGUCUAUCAAACGUCGUAGAUCAGUUCCAAAAGCCAUUCCAACCCUUGAACUUGUCAAUAGGCCCAGAUUCAGUAUAUUACAGUAAGACAAUA
rnacentral:lncRNA from 1 species